rnacentral:tRNA from 1 species
UAAAAGAUAAGCUAAUUCAAGCUAAUGGGCUCAUACCCCGUCUAUGACAGUUAAAUCUUUCUCUUUUUA